UAGGUGAGGGGAAGAGAAGUCAAAGCUAGGUUUCGGUAACCGAACGAACGGACGGAUCAUUGUCGUAUCCCGGCUCGGCACACUCGCGAACUGUCCCGUCCCGUCCCGUCCUCCUCGGUAGGACGCCCCGCCCGCGCCCGCAGCCGCGGCCGCGCGCGGGACGCCGACCGACCGACGAACCUUUUCUCCGGCGCGGUCUGCGCCAAGGAACACCGACCGACGAGAACGCCCGCGCCGUCCUCGCUCCGUGCCUGGCUGCGCGGGCGCUCCUGUGUACGUACAGCCGUACGUACUAUAAAAUCUUAACGACUCCCGGCAACGGAUAUCUAGGCUCUCGCAUCGAUGAAGAACGUAGCGAAAUGCGAUACGUGGUGUGGAUUGCAGAUCCCGUGACCAUCGAAUCUUUGAACGCAAGUUGCGCCCGAGGCCGUCAGGCCGAGGGCACGCCUGCCUGGGCGUCACGCCCCGCGUCGCUCCCACUCCCCGCCGCCCGCACGGCGCGGCGGCGGCGGCCGUGGGACGCGGAGAUUGGCCUACCGUGCUGCGGCGCGGCGGGCCGAAGUGCUCGAACCCUCCCCCGUGCGAGGGGCGAGAACGCGGCGAGUGGUGGAUUGGAUCGGACCGACCGACUCAUCGUCGCCGCGCCCUUCUCGCCCCGCCGCCCGGCGGGCGGGAUUCACGGAACCCAGCCGCGAGCGCGGCCGUUCGGAGGCGCCGCGCGCCGCCGACGCCCGCUCCGACCGCGACCCCAGGUCAGGCGGGGCCACCCGCUGAGUUUAAGCAUAUCAAUAAGCGGAGG
rnacentral:rRNA from 1 species